GGAAGGCCAUUAGCGCUUCGACGUCGGCCGAGCGUAUUUACAUACCCAGCCGCGCGAGAACAGUCUACCUGGAUCGCGGUAAGAUCAAUGAAAAAAUGUAAUAGGCAAAAGAACAGCAGAAUUUGAGCUGUUAUAGGCAUUGGUGGCAGAAACGAAGAUUUGCUUCCGGAAGUUCGUUACACUGUUGAACGGCUUGUUUCGAUCUACAAAGCUGGUAUGACGCUCUUUUCAUUCUGCAUUGUUUUGCAUUCAUGCUCGUUUUAUUUCUAUCGCUGCUGUCACUUACGAGCUUGUUCGGCAGACUCUGGCGGCUUUGAAGAACACUCCGGGCCUGCAAAAGAAGUUCUGUUCAGGGGCACAAUGGCUAUCUUCGCUGCAGACGCAUAGUCC
rnacentral:lncRNA from 1 species